rfam:Phlebotomus papatasi Contig42737.1, whole genome shotgun sequence.
GUCCUCAUAGCUCAGUUGGUAGAGCAUUCGCCUAGAUUGCGAAAGGCCCCCAGUUCAAGCCUUGGGUGGAGGCA